GCAUUGGUGGUUCAGUGGUAGAAUUUUCACCUUGCAUGCGAGAGACCCAGGUUCAAUUCCUGGCUAAUGCA
rfam:Loxodonta africana unplaced genomic scaffold scaffold_19, whole genome shotgun sequence.